rnacentral:rRNA from 1 species
ACGCACGCUGGCGGCGUGCUUCACCCCUGCAGGUCGAACGGAAAGGCCCUGCUUUUGUGGGGUGCUCGAGUGGCGAACGGGUGAGUAACACGUGAGUAACCUGCCCUUGACUUUGGGAUAACUUCAGGAAACUGGGGCUAAUACCGGAUAGGAGCUCCUGCUGCAUGGUGGGGGUUGGAAAGUUUCGGCGGUUGGGGAUGGACUCGCGGCUUAUCAGCUUGUUGGUGGGGUAGUGGCUUACCAAGGCUUUGACGGGUAGCCGGCCUGAGAGGGUGACCGGCCACAUUGGGACUGAGAUACGGCCCAGACUCCUACGGGAGGCAGCAGUGGGGAAUAUUGCACAAUGGGCGGAAGCCUGAUGCAGCAACGCCGCGUGCGGGAUGACGGCCUUCGGGUUGUAAACCGCUUUCGCCUGUGACGAAGCGUGAGUGACGGUAAUGGGUAAAGAAGCACCGGCUAACUACGUG